rnacentral:tRNA from 1 species
GCAUAUGUGGCCGAGUGGUUAAGGCGACUGACUCGAAAUCAGUUUCCAUUUUGGAGCGUAGGUUCGAAUCCUACUAUCUGCG